rnacentral:rRNA from 1 species
GCAUAUCAAUAAGCGGAGGAAAAGAAACCAACAGGGAUUGCCUUAGUAACGGCGAGUGAAGCGGCAACAGCUCAAAUUUGAAAGCUGGCCCUUUUAGGGUCCGCGUUGUAAUUUGUAGAGGAUGAUUCGGCGAGGGCUCCUGCCUAAGUCCCCUGGAACGGGGCGUCAUAGAGGGUGAGAAUCCCGUAUGCGGUAGGUUGCCUUAGCCAUGUGAAUCUCCUUCGACGAGUCGAGUUGUUUGGGAAUGCAGCUCUAAAUGGGAGGUAAAUUUCUUCUAAAGCUAAAUACCGGCCAGAGACCGAUAGCGCACAAGUAGAGUGAUCGAAAGAUGAAAAGCACUUUGGAAAGAGAGUUAAAAAGUACGUGAAAUUGUUGAAAGGGAAGCGCUUGCAACCAGACUUGUCCGCAGUUGCUCAGCCGGUCUCCUGACCGGCGUACUCUUCUGCGGCCAGGCCAGCAUCAGUUCGGGCGGUCGGAUAAAGGCCUCGGGAAUGUGGCUCCUCUCGGGGAGUGUUAUAGCCCGGGGUGCAAUGCGGCCAGCCUGGACUGAGGAACUCGCUUCGGCAAGGAUGCUGGCGUAAUGGUUGUAAGCGGCCCGUCUUGAAACACGGACC